GACAGAGGAUGCAAGCGUUAUCCGGAAUGAUUGGGCGUAAAGCGUCUGUAGGUGGCUUUUUAAGUCCGCCGUCAAAUCCCAGGGCUCAACCCUGGACAGGCGGUGGAAACUACCAAGUGGAGUACGGUAGGGGCAGAGGGAAUUUCCGGUGGAGCGGUGAAAUUCGUAGAUAUUCGCAAGAACACCAGUGGCGAAGGCGGCUCACUGGCCCGAUACUGACGCUGAGGUGCGAAAGCGUGGGGAGCAAACAGG
rnacentral:rRNA from 1 species